UACCCGCAGCACAAGUGGUGGUCAUUAUUAUUGGGCCUAAAGCGUCCGUAGCUGGCCUGUUAGAUGCCUGGGUAAAUCGAUGCGCUCAACGCAUCGAACUCCGGGUAGACCGGCAGGCUUGGGACCGGGAGAGAUGUGAGCUACUCGAGGGGUAGGGGUAAAAUCCUGUAAUCCUUCGGGGAGGACCAGUGGCGAAGGCGUCACAUUAGAACGGCUUCGACAGUGAGGGACGAAGCCCUGGGGCGCAAACCGG
rnacentral:rRNA from 1 species